GAUGAACGCUGGCGGCGUGCCUAAUACAUGCAAGUCGAGCGAACAGACGAGGCGCUUGCUCCUCUGACGUUAGCGGCGGACGGGUGAGUAACACGUGUAUAACCUACCUAUAAUACUGGUAUAACUUCGGGAAACCGGCGCUAAUACCGGAUAAUAUCUUGAACCGCAUGGUUCAAUAGUGAAAUACGGUUUUUCUGUCACUUAUAGCUGGAUCCGCGCCGCUUUAGCUAGUUGGUACGGUAACGGCUUACCAAGGCAACGAUGCGUAGCCGACCUGAGAGGGGGAAGGGCCACAGUGGAAGUGAGAGACGGCACAGAGUCUGAGGGAAGGCAGAAGUAGGGAAGCGAGCGAAAUGGGGGAAAGCCUGACGGAGCAGCGGAGGGUGAGUGAAGAAGGGCUGCGGAUGGUAAAACGCUGUUAGGAGGGAAGAACAAAUGUGUAAGUAACGAUGCACGUGUGAACGGAACGGAUAAAGAAGGACACGGCUAAUUAGGU
rnacentral:rRNA from 1 species